AUCCUCAAGAAAAUAGGAAUGAGGAAAACAGCUUAAUACUGAGCUGAGAAAAACAGAGGGUGCAUACGCCCCGGCAGGGAUGCACGUGGGUCAGUGACA
rnacentral:lncRNA from 1 species